GUCUUUUUGAGUUAUUUUUAAAGUCUGACCUGCCCACUGAAUUUUUAAAUGGCCGCAGUAUUCUAACUGUGCAAAGGUAGCAUAAUCAUUAGUCUUUUAAUUGAAGGCUGGUAUGAACGGUUGGACGAGGUAUAAGCUGUUUCAUAUAAAUUUAUAGUAGAAUUUUAUAUUUUAGUCAAAAAGCUAAAAUUUAAUUAAAAGACGAGAAGACCCUAUAAAUCUUUAUAUUUUAUAUAAUUUAAAUUUUUUAGAUUUAUUUUAUUUUUAUUAUAUAAAAUAUUUUGUUGGGGUGAUAUUAAAAUUUGAUAAACUUUUAAUUAGUUUAAAUCAUUAAUUUAUGAAUUGUUGAUCCAUUAAUAGUGAUUAUAAGAUUAAGUUACUUUAGGGAUAACAGCGUAAUUUUUUUGGAGAGUUCAUAUCGAUAAAAAAGUUUGCGACCUCGAUGUUGGAUUAAGAUAUAAUUUUAGGUGUAGCCGCUUAAAUGAUAAGUCUGUUCGACUUUUAAAUUCUU
rnacentral:rRNA from 1 species